AGCUUUGCACAGUGGCAGUAUCAUAGCCAAUGAGGUUUAUCCGAGGCGUGAUUAUUGCUAAUAAACCUUAAAAUAUUUUUUAUUUGUGGUAUUUUGGAAUGUCUUGUCUUUACUUUCAGAGGGAUAUGGAAUGU
rfam:Canis lupus familiaris chromosome 23, whole genome shotgun sequence.